CAUUGAUUCAUUUCUGUUACCUGGGGGAUCAACGCCUAAAGAAGCUGACUAUGUGAAAGAAAGUACAAGGCCUGAAAGAGCAUCUGUUUUUGCCAAAAGAGCUGUCCAGGCUGCGUUUCAUCACAAGAAACCAACUUCUAGUGUUGAGGCUGAUAUUACUGGUGGCUCCACAAUAAGCUCUCAGGGUUUGCCGAAGCCAGAACCUUCUACUGCAUCAUCCAAAAGCUAUACUUUUAAAACAGGUGAUAGAGUAAAGUUUGUGGGGUUACCUUCUCUGCACAAUCCUCCAAGGGGACCGGCAGUUGGUUUUCGAGGCAAGGUAGUCCUUGCUUUUGAAGAAAAUGGAUCCUCAAAGAUCGGGGUUAGAUUUGAUAGAUCUAUUCCAGAAGGCAAUGACCUUGGUGGUCUCUGUGAGGAAGACCAUGGUUAUUUUUGUGCUGCUAAUUCACUUCGCUUGGAUGGACCUGGAGGUGAAGAUGUUGAUAGGCUUGCUAUUAAUGAACUCUUUGAGGUUGCUCUAAAUGAAAGUAAACAGGGUCCUUUGAUAUUGUUUUUGAAAGACAUAGAAAAGUCUCUGGUGGGGAAUCAAGAUGCAUACACUGCCUUAAGGAGUAAGUUUGAAAAUUUGCCCGAUAGAGUUACUGUAAUUGGUUCACAUACUCAAAUGGACAGUCGUAAGGAGAAGUCUCAACCUGGUGGCCUUUUAUUUACAAAGUUUGGAAGCAACCA
rnacentral:misc_RNA from 1 species